UACGGAGGGUGCGAGCGUUGUCCGGAAUCAUUGGGCGUAAAGGGCGCGUAGGUGGCCCGGUCAGUUCGUGGUGAAAGCGCGGGGCUCAACCCUGCGUCGGCCAUGAAUACUGCCGCGGCUGGAGCACUGUAGAGGCAGGCGGAAUUCCGGGUGUAGCGGUGGAAUGCGUAGAGAUCCGGAAGAACACCGGUGGCGAAGGCGGCCUGCUGGGCAGUUGCUGACGCUGAUGCGCGAAAGCCAGGGGAGCAAACGGG
rnacentral:rRNA from 1 species